CAGGGAGAAGCCCAGCUCCGUAUGAGAACAUAAGUGACGCAAGCAGUACAUUGAUAGAAUUACAGAACCACCCCCCAGAAGAGUAACCCUGAUAAAUGAGCGUACCCCCAAAAUAAUGGGCAAAUCUGGUAACACCCUAGUGU